UAGAGCGUAUAUCAAAUCAAAAUUCGAUGCACUUCUUCUAAACUUGUGUGCACAUUAUGAUUAUAGUCCUCCAACUGUCGCACGCUCUUUCAAAUGAAAAUUUCUUUCUUUUUCUUUUAGAGAGAGGUGGUCUAAACCAGUAUCUUCAGGCAAGCAAAUUUAUAGUUUCCCAUCAUUUCAAUUUACGGGAAUACACCCCCGCUUUGAAAUGGAUGGCUCCUCAUCUCGGCGAAAACACAUCUAGUAUUUUCCCCUUUCUUUGAAGAGAAAGAAACGCUACUCGCAGUUGCGAUUGAAGUGCGCAUGUUCGUCUUCAUUUUUAUACUUUUACCAGAGAUAUAUCUUGACUGAAUAACUAAUCAUGGAUCACAUCACAAGAUUGACUAUUCGACAAGUGUCAAUGAACCAUUCCUGAAUUUCACAUGUCAUGUCAUGACGGCUUAGUGAAUCACUUCAAUGCGAUGGAUGAAGUCUGCUUAUUUUCCCCUGCCAUGACAUGAUUAUACAACGCUGAUGAUAUCGAGAGGUUUUGGGUGACAAUAUUUUGAUUACGUCGUUCUGAAGGUCUUCUCGGAGCUCGUCUCGAUUCAUCAAUGGGAUACUUUUUC